CUUUCUAUAAUUAACAGCCAUGGAAACUGCAUCAGAACAAAAGAAGGAAAAGGGGUCGAAGUUAUAAUUCCAAUUUUGUACCUUGCAACGUGGGGACUUACUUCUAGAUUCUUUCAGAGAUGCAAUUUUAACUAGUAAGUGCAUUGGAAUGAAAAAUAAAUAUGCUUGAGGACCACUUGAAAAGGCACGUAAAGCUGGGCUUGCACCAGCUGAGGUAGAAGAAGAAGAUGAAAAGAGAUUAAUCCUCAUAUACCAAAGUUUAGGUCUUCUGCUCCAUGUUAUUUAAAGCUGAGAAAUCUGUAAGCCUCCCAACUUUCUAUUACCUUUCUUUCUCUAUUCCUCUGUAUGCUGGUGAAUGUGUUUUGUGUGGCUUUUUCUAUUUGUUUAGAGUCUUAAACAUCAAAGGAAAUGGAAAUCAGACUCAAAUCAUACAAAAUCUUGGUACGAUAAAAGUGCAAAAAUAUUUCAUGCUACCUGCAGUAGACAGUAAUCACAGCAACAACAGAGUAAUACUUUAAUACAACUCUGGCCAAACCAACCAACCAAUAGUUGAACGGUUGGAAGAUACAAGUUUUUCCGUUUUUAAUCAAUCUACCUACAAUUUUGGAGAUAAAUGUGGUUAUGAUUGUAGGAGGGGAAGUAAUAAUAACUGCAAUGUAAUUGAGAUAGUGGACAAGUGCAGGAAGGGAGCAUGUCAUAAAAGUGUCCAAUGUUAAUCGGAAGCACAGAAGAUAUGUAGCCGUGGGCCUUCAAGGGUAGGUGUCGUGUCUGGUGUUAAUUGAAAGAUGUAUGUUUCUAACUAUUGUCUUCUCCUCCAAGGCAUUUAUGCUAUAUUAUAAAUAUAAAAAAGAAAAGUCAAUGUAGUAAAAUUUGAAAAAAGCCAGGAUAUCCACAUGCAAGCUGCACCUUCCAAAGCUGAAUUCCGUAUAAGAAUUUUGGAUAACUACGGAGAAGUUAUAGUCGCAAAAAAAAAAAAGCAUAAUGGAGAAAUAUGGAAAUGCUGCAGCUCAAGGAGAGCUUUCAAAGAAGCUUCUUUUGGGACAAACAGAGAAAUAUGUAGAAUAUGAUCGUGAUUGCAGAAUUAUAAAUGACCUGGCAUUAUUCGAUAUGUUGUGUUCUCUUUAUUUCAUCUCCAUCCGUCCUGCAGUUUUCCCUUAUCUUUGUUUGAGCGCUGGUUGAAUUUGAUACUCUUGUUCCAACAGAGGAGAAAAGGCUUGCUACUUGAGGAACUGAUGUUCCUGAUGACCUGGUCCUGGACCAGACAAAACUUGCCUAGGCAAGGUCUUUUUUGGCUUUUUAUUUAAUUUUCAUUUACCUGUCAUGUUUCCAUUCCUAGUUAGAGAUCAUGUAAUUCGUUGACAUUGCCCAAGAUUUGGAGCUUGACAUUCUGAAAAUAUGUGGUUAUGAAUAAUGAUUUCAUUUUCUUAGUUUUGUUGAGCUACCAUUUUGUUUGGCCUGCAGAUAAAGAAAAAAGGAGGUAGUGUUU